rnacentral:rRNA from 1 species
GUAGGUGGCAAGCGUUGUCCGGUAAUUAUUGGGGCGUAAAGCGCGCGCAGGCGGUUCUUUAAGUCUGAUGUGAAAGCCCACGGGCUCAACCGUGGAGGGUCAUUGGAAACUGGAGAACUUGAGUACAGAAGAGGAAAGCGGAAUUCCACGUGUAGCGGUGAAAUGCGUAGAGAUGUGGAGGAACACCAGUGGCGAAGGCGGCUUUCUGGUCUGUAACUGACGCUGAGGCGCGAAAGCGUGGGGAGCAAACAGGAUUAGAUACCCUGGUAGUCCACGCCGUAAACGAUGAGUGCUAAGUGUUAGGGGGUUUCCGCCCCUUAGUGCUGCAGCUAACGCAUUAAGCACUCCGCCUGGGGAGUACGGCCGCAAAGGCUG